rnacentral:lncRNA from 1 species
CCGGAGAACAAUAAGAGUGACCAACUCACAAAGUCUAUAAUAUUUCAUAAAAUUAUCAAAGCCAAGUUGUGUGUAACAUUUUACAAUGGCAUGAUAAAACAAUUUAUAGACCUAGAAUGUUAAGGGUCAAAUCCGUCCACUAAUGGCUUACAUGCAUAAGGUCAUACAUGUAUAAUGUAGAUACAUGAAUAGUUGGGAGCAAUGUAUGACCAAAUGAUCACAUUCUUUUAAAAUUUUUAAAUUUUUUAUCUAAUCAGCUCACAACUAUUGGCAAUGGAUGCAUGACCAAUUAGAUGAGUGAAUGCACCAAACAGCUCUCAAAAAUACAUGCAUAAUCGAGUGCAUGUUCUUCAUUAAAUUGGCUCCUUCAUAUUAACGGUCACAUGCACCAAAAAUGAUGGCAUGUGUUUCAAGAUUCCUUAAAUGUACUUGUACAUGCAUUCGACCUUAAUGAGAAUUCAUGAUGAUCUUUAUAUGGGCAGCUGAAUGGUUCCUUUACAUGUGAAAGCUCGGUUAUGAAGAGACUUUGAGUGUGAACAGGAAGAAUAGAAUGAUCUUUUGAAAUGUUUAGCUAAUUAGCUCACAGCUAUUGGCAAUGGAUGCAUGAAUAAUUAGCUGAGUGAAUGCACCAAACAGCUCUAAAAAAUACAUGCACAAUCGGGUGCAUGUUCUUCAUUAAAUUGGCUUCAUUGAAGCUGGAAAAUACAUGAAUGUCCAGCUGAAAUUAGCUCCCAUCGUCCAUGCACAAGCAGGUGCAUGCUUCACAUUAAUCAGCUUCAAUGAAUCUGAACAUGUGCAUGAAUGUCUAGCCUCCCAUUCCAGCAACCUGUUAAGACAAAUUUUAAACACACGAUUAAAGCUUCAAUAAGACAAUAUUGAACACAAUUAAAUAUGUAAUAAGCUAAGACACAUUAAGAAAACUAAUUUGCUAAUAUGUAAUAAAUCUGUCUGAAAUUGGACAUGCUUAAUGUUAAGACACAUUUUAAACACACGAUUAAAGCUUCAAUAGGGCAAUAUUGAACACAAUUAAAUAUGUAAUAAGCUAAGACACAUUAAGAAAACUAAUUUGCUAAUAUGCAAUAAAUCUGUCUGAAAUUGGACUUGCUUAAUGGACAAACAAAGACAUUAAUUUAAUAUGUAAUAUACUAAGACAUGAUUUAAAUAUGUAGCAUGCUAAGAAAAAAUAAUGAGUGAAUGACAAUGAAAAAAUUAAUAGACAAAUCAAUUAGACAUGUAAUUGAAGUUGUAGAUGACUAAACAUAAUUAAAUAAGUAAUGUAAUUAAAAUCUCGAAGUCUUAACAGCUAGGCUAGCUAGGUAAGUCGAGUUUAGCCUUAAUUAAAUUGAAGAUAUCCCUUGUUGAACCAUCCAACACUUCAUUUUGCAUUUGGGACCCUUGUGUUUGGGCCAAUUCUGAUGCCGUCGAAUUGUAUCGUGACAUGAUGCGGCCUAGAUCGCAUCAGUUGUGACUUCAACAAGGGAAAGCCACAACUAUGAGGACAGUUUCCUCAAAUUUUGCAUAUGUUUUCCUCUAACCUACCAAGCAUCAAUUCAAUUUGGACUAAAUGACUCACAAUCUUAACUCAUCACAUUAUAGACAUUAACACAAUUACCAAUUUACCAUCCUUAGCAUAUUAAACAUCAAUUAAUACAUAAUCACAAGUAAUAUUGUCUCAAACUGAUUUGAUUGAUGUGAAAGUAUACACAAUCAUUAACAAGUAAUAAAUUGAUAAGUAUAUCGAGUAUCAUCGCCACGGGGAUUGUCUAUGUGAAUCAAGUAUUGCAAAAUUAACUACUAGCAAAUUGGUUGGUGAUAAAAAUAAAUUUAAGUGAUGGGUUUGAUUAAAUUAACUAACCUAAGUUUGCUUAAAAUUAAAUUAAAUAAAAUGAAAAAAAUGAGUAUGCAAGUCUUUCAGAGAAAUCACAAUAUCAUGCAUGUGUCAAAAUAAUUCUCCUUCCUAACUUAGAAUUAUUUUAAUGUUGCUAAUAAUGUUACGAAAAAUUCCGUGGCAACUCGGUAUUUAUUAAUCCUAUUUUAAUUACAAGUACUUUGGCUUCUCUCAAAGCCUAAAGUUUAACCUUUUGUCUGCAUAUGUCUAUGUCUGUUAUGACUUCAAGGUUACAUUUUCAGGCAUCAUCUAAGAGUUUAACUUAUUAAAUUAUUAAGUAUAACAUAUGUCUAUGUCAACAACUUAGUAAAAUUAAUAGGCAAAAAGACAGAUUAAUGUGAGGUAACAGUAAUGUUUCUAUACUGAAAUAGUUUAAUCACAUGAAUCCUAGGAUUAUGCAAGGUAAUAAGAUUCUCUCAAAUUAUUACAAAAAUUAACCUAAUUUUCUCAAAUAUAGAUUAAAUAUGCACCAUUCAAAUAAUGUGUCAAUUAACUACGGUCCGGUUAGGAUUAAAUAAUUAAUUCAGUUGCAUUCCCUACAUUUAUGAUGCAUGAACAACAUAGUCAUAAUUUUAUCUGAAUGCAUAAACAGUCGAGUCACAUAACAUCACUAACAACAUAAAUAAUCUAAUCUAUGAAAUUAAAUUAUUCUAACACCGAAAGAGCCAUAAUUAUAUUAAAAACAUAAACUUUAGUUGGAAACAAAUUUCUUAAAUUGAACAACAAGAAAUUAAAAGAGUAAAGGGAAAGAAAUGCAAAGCUGUUUCCAGUGGUUCUCCAUGGCAUAGCUUACUUGCUCCUCCUUUGUGCUUCGCUCCUUGCCGUAGCAAUCAAGCCAAAAUGCUCCUCCAAUGGUCAAAUGGCCUGCUCUCAAAUCUUUGCACAAUUCACUUGAAAAAUGAGAAAAG